AGCCUGUCUCUAAAAAACGAGAGAAUUCUCUCUCAAAUCUCUCUGGCCCUCUGAGCUCCGGUCAAGGGACCAUCACUACUCAUCCUUGAGCUCCGUCGUGCGUGGUCUUUAUGCGCCGACGCGCCAUCCUAAGGACCACUGCACACAGUGGCUAGGGUUUGAGAAACCCUUCCUUUUUCCUUGCGAAUAGUCAGGAAAAUCGCGAAGAUCUCGGUGGUAGACUCGUCGACGUUGAUGGAGGCAUGAAUUCUGGUGAUGAGGAGCCCUGGGUAUGCUGAAAAGAUGCAUUGAUGGGCUCGACAGUGCAUUGAUGGCCUUGACAGUGCAUUAAUGACCUCGAUUCAGGGAGCUGGACAGACGCUCCCCGAGGCUUCCAGAAGAUGUUGCGGCGCUAGGAGGGAAAGGCAGAAACCCUUAGGGUUUCCUGCCUUAGUGUAAAAGUUUGGGCCAGUUGGGCCACUUAAGUUUUGUAAUCGGGUUAAGGGUUUUAGGGGCUUCGUGUGUAUUUGGGUUACACAGGUAUUGGUUAUGCGAUUUGUUUAGGCUUGGGCCCUAAUGCUUGGGCUUUGUAACCUGGGCUGUUAAAUGGACUUUAAAAUAAAUAUUUAUUUAUCCAUUUAUCUGUUUUGCCCCUUUUAAA